CCUACGGGUGGCAGCAGUAGGGAAUCUUCCACAAUGGGCGAAAGCCUGAUGGAGCAACGCCGCGUGGGUGAAGAAGGUCUUCGGAUCGUAAAACUCUGUUGUUAGAGAAGAAAGUGCGUGAGAGUAACUGUUCACGUUUCGACGGUAUCUAACCAGAAAGCCACGGCUAACUACGUGCCAGCAGCCGCGGUUAUACGUAGGUGGCAAGUGUUAUCCGGAUUUAUUGGGCGUAAAGGGAGCGCAGGCGGUAUUUUAAGUCUGAUGUGAAAGCCAUCGGCUUAACCGGAGUAGUGCAUUGGAAACUGGGAGACUUGAGUGCAGAAGAGGAGAGUGGAACUCCAUGUGUAGCGGUGAAAUGCGUAGAUAUAUGGAAGAACACCAGUGGCGAAGGCGGAUCUCUGGUCUGUAACUGACGCUGAGGUGCGAAAGCGUGGGUAGCAAACAGGAUUAGAUACCCUGGUAGUC
rnacentral:rRNA from 1 species